UCAUUGUCUCAGAAUAAGGGCGUCUGUCUUGUAAACAGAAGGUCUCUGGUUCGAUUCCAGAAUGA
rnacentral:tRNA from 1 species